GUUAAUAUGAAAGAGGUAAAUUAUGGUUGAACAGACAUACAGCUAUUAUUAGUUUUAUGAAGUUUGUGUGUGGAUUCUUUCUGACACUAACAAUCAUACAUACAGACACAUAUAUAUAUAUAUACACACAUGUUGAUCUGGCCUAAAGGACAAACCUAGUAGGAAGGGGAUGGAACUUGGGGAUAAUCUUCCAUCUCACACUUAGAACCUCUGAAUCUGCAUUUCCACUCAGA